rnacentral:rRNA from 1 species
CAGUAGCCGCGGUAAUACGUAGGUGGCAAGCGCUGUCCGGAAUUAUUGGGCGUAAAGGGCUCGCAGGCGGUUUCUUAAGUCUGAUGUGAGAGCCCCCGGCACAACCGGGGAGGGCCGUUGGAAACUGGGAAACUUGAGUGCAGAAGAGGAGAGUGGAAUUCCACGUGUAGCGGUGAAAUGCGUAGAGAUGUGGAGGAACACCAGUGGCGAAGGCGACUCUCUGGUCUGUAACUGACGCUGAGGAGCGAAAGCGUGGGGAGCGAACAGGAUUAGAUACCCCAGUAGUCCCUGUCUCUUAUAC